CGUGCCAAAGUCGCUAGAACGAAAUGGUGGAAGCUCAAGGGGGAGGUACCUCAGGCGUUCAAAGAGAGGGUCAUCAAGGAGGGCCCUUGGGACGAAGGAGGGGAUGCGGACAAGGUGUGGAUGAAGAUGACGACUUGCAUUCGUAAGGUGGCCUCGGAGGAGUUUGGAGUGUACAUGGGAAGGAGAAGCGGACCUAAGGAUACCUGGUGGUGGAAUGAAGAUGUCCAGAAGGCGAUUAAAGAGAAGAAAGAUUGUUUCAGAUGCCCAUACCUGGAUAGGAGUGUAGACAACAUAGAGAAGUACAUGAUUGUGAAGAGGGCCGUAAAGCAAGCU
rnacentral:rRNA from 1 species